rnacentral:rRNA from 1 species
UACGGAGGGUGCAAACGUUGUUCGGAAUUACUGGGCGUAAAGCGCGUGUAGGCGGCCAUCUAAGUCGGGCGUGAAAUCCCACGGCUCAACCGUGGAAGUGCACUCGAAACUGGAUGGCUAGAGUCCUGGAGAGGAAGGUGGAAUGCUUGGUGUAGAGGUGAAAUUCGUAGAUAUCAAGCGGAACACCGGUGGCGAAGGCGGCCUUCUGGACAGUGACUGACGCUGAGACGCGAAAGCCAGGGGAGCAAACGGG